rnacentral:rRNA from 1 species
AAUAAAAGGGAGUCAACUUACUUGGAGUCCGACUCUCACUUUCUAACCCUGUGCACUUGUUUGGGAUAGUAACUCUCGCAAGAGAGCGAACUCCUAUUCACUUAUAAACACAAAGUCUAUGAAUGUAUUAAAUUUUAUAACAAAAUAAAACUUUCAACAACGGAUCUCUUGGCUCUCGCAUCGAUGAAGAACGCAGCGAAAUGCGAUAAGUAAUGUGAAUUGCAGAAUUCAGUGAAUCAUCGAAUCUUUGAACGCACCUUGCGCUCCAUGGUAUUCCGUGGAGCAUGCCUGUUUGAGUGUCAUGAAUACUUCAACCCUCCUCUUUCUUAAUGAUUGAAGAGGUGUUUGGUUUCUGAGCGCUGCUGGCCUUUACGGUCUAGCUCGUUCGUAAUGCAUUAGCAUCCGCAAUCGAACUUCGGAUUGACUUGGCGUAAUAGACUAUUCGCUGAGGAAUUCUAGUCUUCGGACUAGAGCCGGGUUGGGUUAAAGGAAGCUUCUAAUCAGAAUGUCUACAUUUUAAGAUUAGAUCUCAAAUCAGGUAGGACUACCCGCUGAACUUAAGCAUAUCAAUAAGCGGAGGAAAAGAAACUAACAAGGAUUCCCCUAGUAGCGGCGAGCGAAACGGGAAGAGCUCACAUUUAUAAUCUGGCACCUUCGGUGUCCGAGUUGUAAUCUCUAGAAAUGUUUUCCGCGUUGGACCGCACACAAGUCUGUUGGAAUACAGCGGCGUAGUGGUGAGACCACCCGCAUAUGGUGCGGACGACCCCGCGCUUUGUGAUACAUUUUUCUAAAAGACGAGUAUGUUUGUGAAUGACAGCAACAAAAUAAUGGGGGUUAGAAA